CCUCCCUCAAGAGAAGACGAUCAUCCUUACCUUAUUUUCUCAUCUCAACCAUCUCUGUCAAACUUUCUAGUCCCCUUUAUCUUUUCUAUUCUACCCCUACUCUGCCCCUUUCAAUCUUUUCCCUCUUGUCAUCUCUAUCUUGCUCCUCGUUACCUAGUCAAAGCACCCUAUCUACCUCAUCUUACCAUACUUCUGACUCAUUCUUUUAUCUUUUCUUUCUCACCACUAUGUUUGCCUCCAUUUCUUAUAGGAGGGGCUAUCGGAAGAGGAAGGCUAUCCUCUUGGUUGCAACCCUCCACAUGCAAAUGAUAGAAAGGAAAAAAAAGGUGAAAAAAAGGUAAAGGGAGAUACAAGUUAAGGUCAGGGUCUCCUUGCAUAAGGUUACAGAGGGCAAGCAUA
rnacentral:lncRNA from 1 species